UACGAAGGGGGCUAGCGUUGUUCGGAAUUACUGGGCGUAAAGCGCGCGCAGGCGGUCUUCCAAGUCAGUGGUGAAAGCCCGGAGCUCAACUCCGGAACUGCCAUUGAAACUGUAAGACUUGAGUACGAGAGAGGUGAGUGGAAUUCCCAGUGUAGAGGUGAAAUUCGUAGAUAUUGGGAAGAACACCGGUGGCGAAGGCGGCUCACUGGCUCGUAACUGACGCUCAGGAGCGAAAGCGUGGGGAUCAAACAGG
rnacentral:rRNA from 1 species